UUACCAAGAAAAUGCACCCCUGUUGGUUAUUAUUUCUGUAUCGCAAAGCGGUGAGUUUCUAUUUCUUGGUAAUUCGGUUUGUGAAAUGACUAUUAAUUACAAGCACAGCAUCAUCAACGGUGAUUGCAAGAACUACUGCAAUCCCUGCGGUUUUUCCUCUUGGUAAAUGCGUUCUGGUCGUGACCAAGGGUGGUCUCCCAAUCGGCCGGGAAUAAGGCUAUUGUUGCAGAACAAAACGCCACAACCACCGCUGUUGUAAAUAUGUUCCAGCAGUACUGCCCACCGCCGUCGGAGUAAUGAUUUCGAUAGCUGAACAAACGCCAUCUCCUGGGCAUUCCCACAUACCGACAAUAGCUAUUAUAUCACGUGUGAAUGCAACUGCGGCUAAAUUUGGUUAUUAACAGUGCAAUAGUGCCAUGUCAUUGCCAAAAACACUAAGGGAUGCUGGCACAUAGAGGUUGUAAAGUUUUUGGAAUCGAUGAACUUACUCGAAGAAGACGAUGGUCGAAAACAUAUGAUGAAACAUCUUCUGGCGUGCCUUUGACAAUCGUUAAGGUAGACGGAGGCUUCACAUACGAUUUUUCACACAUGGCUGGAAUUCGUUAGCGGACAGAGCACACAUUUACAAAAUAUUUAUCGUUCUGCAGAACGUGCAUGCAUAUUCGAUUCCGAUUUUAUGGGUCGAUUACGG